rnacentral:rRNA from 1 species
AUUGAACGCUGGCGGCAGGCCUAACACAUGCAAGUCGAACGAGUGGCGGACGGGUGUGUAAUGUCUGGGACACUGCCUGAUGGAGGGGGAUAACUACUGGAAACGGUAGCUAAUACCGCAUACCAUCGGAUGUGCCCAGAUGGGAUUAGCUAUUAGGUGGGGUAACGGCUCACCUAGGCGACGAUCCCUAGCUGAGCUGAGAGGGUGACCAGCCACACUGGAACUGAGACACGGUCCAGACUCCUACGGGAGGCAGCAGUGGGGAAUAUUGCACAAUGGGCGCAAGCCUGAUGCAGCCAUGCCGCGUGUAUGAAGAAGGCCUUCGGGUUGUAAAGUACUUUCAGCGGGGAGGCGUUACCCGCAGAAGAAGCACCGGCUAACUCCGUGCCAGCAGCCGCGGUAAUUC